GGGCACCUGAUUAAUAUCAUUUCAAUGAAAAAUAACCCUUAACUUAAAUUUUACUUUGCUCCUUUAAUUUUGGAUAAUAAUUUAGAAUUCAGAAUAUAUAAUUGAUGAAUCAGAUCUAGAGCCCUACACGUCGCGCGCCCCACAUCUACGACCGGCUACAGUUCAUCGACUCCUGCAUCUCGAGUGGUCGUUUCGUUCCGCUCGCGUCUAAUUCGAAUGGAUCAUAAACGUAACUAAUGACAUGUGUGUGGUGACGUCACGUGACACUAGCCGCGCUUACAUCGUGUCAGCCAUGAUGACAAUUGUCUGUAAUUGUCAACUCGGAUAUUAACGGCUGAAACGCUGCUGAACUAACGAUAGGACGAAUGUAAAUUGAUUAGUGCAAGUUUAAACUCUCAAUGACUGAUCAUGACUAACUCGCAACGUUCGGCAACUCGUUCUAGGGUUACAAAGAAAAUUAAUGCAAGAUGGCAGAUCACUUUAAAAUUGUAUAAUCUGUGACGCUUUCAAAUUAUAUAUUUGUUUGUAUGGAUACAGAAAACAAAAUCAAAAUUCAACAGAACUACCAAAAUAUAAGUUACUCACCAUUAGACCGAAGGAAACCAGCCAUAUCAAGAGGAGUUGGAUCCAAAUCUUCGUAGUCGUAUAGAUCUGAGAGUACAUGUCGUAGUACGCUAUCAGAGUGUACCUGGAAUAGUCACGGAUGUUAUAUGUGCUAUGAAAUUAUUUGGUGCCCUUAUAUUAAGUGAUAUUUAUUACACUAAAACAACGUUCCAUUCAAUAAAUAGUUUCUAUGUCUCAGAAGACGUGAUUUUUAAUUGGAGACGCUACGCUGGACGUUUUGUCAAUUUAGUUUAGUUAUGUUUUUUAAAAUACCUUAACAUGUAAAUACAUAGUGUAACAGAAGAAUCUACUAAAAUAUUUAAAGAAAAUAUUAAA